rnacentral:rRNA from 1 species
UACAGAGGUCUCAAGCGUUGUUCGGAUUCAUUGGGCGUAAAGGGUGCGUAGGUGGCGCUGUAAGUCGGAUGUGAAAUUUCGGAGCUUAACUCCGAAACUGCAUUUGAUACUGCGGUGCUUGAGGACUGGAGAGGAGAUUGGAAUUCACGGUGUAGCAGUGAAAUGCGUAGAUAUCGUGAGGAAGACCAGUGGCGAAGGCGGAUCUCUGGACAGUUCCUGACACUGAGGCACGAAGGCCAGGGGAGCAAACGGG